AGCGAACGUUAGCGGCGGGCCUAACACAUGCAAGUCGAGCGAGAAAAGGGCUUCGGCCCUGAGUACAGCGGCGGACGGGUGAGGAACACGUAGGUAAUCUGCCCUUUAGUGGAGGACAACGGUCCGAAAGGACCGCUUAUACUCCAUACGUUCCCCGGGACUCCGGGUCCGGGGAGGAAAGCCUCGCAAGGGGCGCUGAAGGAGGAGCCUGCGUCGCAUCAGCUAGUUGGUGGGGUAACGGCCUACCAAGGCGAAGACGCGUAGCUGGUCUGAGAGGAUGAUCAGCCUCACUGGGACUGAGACACGGCCCAGACUCCUACGGGAGGCAGCAGUGGGGAAUAUUGGACAAUGGGGGCAACCCUGAUCCAGCCACGCCGCGUGAGUGAUGAAGGCCUUCGGGUCGUAAAGCUCUGUGGGGAGGGACGAACGUCCCCGUGAAGAACGGGGGGUGACGGUACCUCCUUAGCAAGCACCGGCUAACUUCGUGCCAGCAGCCGCAGUAAGAC
rnacentral:rRNA from 1 species